rnacentral:rRNA from 1 species
GAUGAACGCUGGCGGCGUGCCUAAUACAUGCAAGUCGAGCGAACAGAUGAGGAGCUUGCUCCUCUGACGUUAGUGGCGGACGGGUGAGUAACACGUGGAUAACCUACCUAUAAGACUGGGAUAACUUCGGGAAACCGGAGCUAAUACCGGAUAAUAUAUUGAACCGCAUGGUUCAAUAGUGAAAGACGGUUUUGCUGUCACUUAUAGAUGGAUCCGCGCCGCAUUAGCUAGUUGGUAAGGUAACGGCUUACCAAGGCAACGAUGCGUAGCCGACCUGAGAGGGUGAUCGGCCACACUGGAACUGAGACACGGUCCAGACUCCUACGGGAGGCAGCAGUAGGGAAUCUUCCGCAAUGGGCGAAAGCCUGACGGAGCAACGCCGCGUGAGUGAUGAAGGUCUUCGGAUCGUAAAACUCUGUUAUUAGGGAAGAACAAAUGUGUAAGUAACUAUGCACGUCUUGACGGUACCUAAUCAGAAAGCCACAGCUAACUACGUG